GCCCUUGUAGCUCAGUCGGUAGAGCGCGUCCUUGGUAAGGACGAGGUCACCGGUUCAAGUCCGGUCAAGGGCUCCA
rnacentral:tRNA from 1 species